rnacentral:lncRNA from 1 species
CAGUUCAUGAAUGGCUUGAGCAACACGGUAAGGGUCACUGAUUUAUUUUAUUUUUGUAUCAUUAUACCUUGGGGAUUGAUAGCAAAUUCUGUUGUAAAUAUGAUUUGCACCAAAGAAAAAAAUGGUUAGAAAAUUGUGCAUGAAUCACACAACUUUUGAUGUAAUUGGAUUUGAAUGAGAUGUAAAUAAAUACAAAACUAAGUUAUAGUAACUGCUGUUGUAUCAGUUAAUGUAGUUUGCUCAGCCUAAGGUGAGUUCAAAAGCGCUCACCCUAGCUGAGCCAUCCGAUCCCCUUCCUUCACAUCCAGACCGUCCUUUCAUUUAUAGUUUUUUUUUUUUUUUUUUUUUUUUUUUGCACAGAGUACAAUAUAUUCUGCUUUCUAUCCUACCUACCUAUGACACCUACUUAUGACACCUAUGUGUACGUAUGCUCUUUUCAUCCUAUCUCAUACACUUUAUUUCAUCUCUUCUUUCCCGGAAUUCCAUUUUCUUCUUGAAUUUUUUUCUUCAUCACUCAUUCUUCUCUGUCGGUAAGUAAUUCAAAUAUUUGUUCAGAAGUUUUUUUAAUUUCAUCUAAUACUCGAAAAUAUCUAUCUUUAAAUAAUCACCAUUGCCCUCUCAUCUCACGAAUCACGAUCAUAGAGAUUUUAGGGAUUUUACACAAAAGUUAUUAUAAUUUUUAAAAGGGUGAUUUCCAAAUCAACCUAUUUUGAAUAUAUUUAAGGUCUCCUUCCAUAUCUUAUCGUCUCCUCAAUCUAAAGACUCGUUGUUCAAUCUGACCCUGUUGUUUUAAUUUUUUUUGAUGAAGUACUUCGCGUACUUAUUGAAAUACAUGUUCCUGAGGUGAAAUACAUGUCUCCGAAGUCGUUGGAAUCAUUGUUUCUGAAAUGUUUGAACCUGUUGUUUUUGAAUUAGUUGAUACCCUUGUUCCUGAAAUGGUUUCCACUAAUGUUUCUAAAAAGGUUGAAACCGUUCUUCUUGAAUUGGUUGAUAUUGUUGUUUCAUAAAUGGUUUUAACCAACGAUCCUGAAUUCGUUGAAAUCAUUGUUCCUGAAUUGUUU